AGCACGGAGCUUGCUCCUGGUGGCGAGUGGCGAACGGGUGAGUAAUAUAUCGGAACGUACCCUAGAGUGGGGGAUAACGUAGCGAAAGUUACGCUAAUACCGCAUACGAUCUAAGGAUGAAAGUGGGGGAUCGCAAGACCUCAUGCUCGUGGAGCGGCCGAUAUCUGAUUAGCUAGUUGGUAGGGUAAAAGCCUACCAAGGCAUCGAUCAGUAGCUGGUCUGAGAGGACGACCAGCCACACUGGAACUGAGACACGGUCCAGACUCCUACGGGAGGCAGCAGUGGGGAAUUUUGGACGAUGGGCGAAAGCCUGAUCCAGCAAUGCCGCGUGAGUGAAGAAGGCCUUCGGGUUGUAAAGCUCUUUUGUCAGGGAAGAAACGGUGAAGGCUAGUAUCCUUUGCUAAUGACGGUACCUGAAGAAUAAGCACCGGCUAACUACGUGCCAGCAGCCGCGGUAAUACGUAGGGUGCAAGCGUUAAUCGGAAUUACUGGGCGUAAAGCGUGCGCAGGCGGUUUUGUAAGUCUGAUGUGAAAUCCCCGGGCUCAACCUGGGAAUUGCAUUGGAGACUGCAAGGCUAGAAUCUGGCAGAGGGGGGUAGAAUUCCACGUGUAGCAGUGAAAUGCGUAGAUAUGUGGAGGAACACCGAUGGCGAAGGCAGCCCCCUGGGUCAAGAUUGACGCUCAUGCACGAAAGCGUGGGGAGCAAACAGGAUUAGAUACCCCUGGU
rnacentral:rRNA from 1 species